CUGGACAUGGCCAACCAGAAGGAGGAGCUGUUCCAGAUCGAUCUAAACCAGGAGGAGGUGCAGCUGAAGGAUUCAGGCCGUUCCUGGUCAUGGCCGCCUCCAAGUCGAGUUCCUCGAUGGUGUGUAGAUGUCUGAAGAAGAGCUGGCCUGCUGGAAGGAGGAUGUGCCCCAGUUCGAUCCGAAUUCAUAAACAGUUCAUCGUCGAGCAGCCCAAGGCAGAGGCAAACCAUUGCCCCACUUGCGUUGUCCGUGUCGGCGCCCUUGGAGAAGGCUUUGGUUCGAAAUCUGCAGCCUUGUGCGUGAUCUGUGUAAGGUGCACCUCGCUGCUUCUCCGAUAAAUUUGUGAUUUUUGUCUUCCCUGCAAUUGUUGCUGCGGAGAAAGGUUCGAGCUUGUUUGAACCUGACCGUUGCUGGGUUGGAGUGUUUUGUUAUGUUGUUGAAGGAUAACCAGGAAGAGGACAUCCAGGUUAGCAGGCAGACCUCUAGCAGUAGCCUGGUGCACCAAGAAGAAGACCCAUAUGUAUGCAUGCUGCAGCCUUGGUCGUGCCUGCCAGGCGAGAUCUCAGAUCCGAGAGAAUUUUUGUAAUCCAUGUUUUGUUGUAAUGGUUAACCAUCAGUGUCUGUCCAAGAACCUAAAC